AGAAUGGUGCACAAAUGGUAUAUAAAGGGGUUAGAAAGGAUUUAGAGAAGGUGUAGAAAGACUCUUCAAAAGGUUUACUAAGGGUGUAAAAAGAUGAUGAAAGAUGUAGAAAUCGUGUACAAAGUGUGUAUAAAGUGAGUACAAUGGGUUUAAAAAUGUUUUGUAAAGGUUGUAUAAAGGGUGUAUAAAGGGUGUACAAAGGGUGUAUAAUGGGUGUACAAUGUGUGUGCACCCAUUCUACCUCUAUUUGAAAAAUAUGUAGAAAGGCUGCGGAAGCGUGCACAAAUGGUAUAAAAAGGGGUUAGAAAGGAUGUAGAAAGGCUGUAGAAAGACUCUUGAAAAGGUUUAGUAAGGGUGUAAGAAGAUGAAGAAAGAUAUAGAACUCGUGUACAAAGUGUGUAUAAAGUGAGUACAAAGGGUUUACAAAUAUUGUAUAAAUGGUGUAUAAAGGGUGUACAAAAGGUGUAUAAAGGGUGUACAAAGGGUGUAGACCCAUUCUACCUUUUUUUAAAAAAUAUGUAGAAAGCCUGCAGAAGGGUGCAUAAAUGAUAUAUAAAGAGGUUAGAAAGGAUGUAGAAAAGGUGUAGAAAGACUCUUCAAAAGGUUUAGUAAGGGUGUAAGAAGAUGAAGAAAGAUGUAGAAAUCGUAUACAAAGUGUGUACAUAGUGAGUACAAUGGGUUUAAAAAUGUUGUAUAAAGGUUGUAUAAAGGGUGUACAAAAGGUGUAUAAUGGGUGUACAAAUAGUGUACACCCAUUCUACCUCUUUUUAAAAAAUAUGUAGAAAGGCUGCAGAAGGGUGCACAACUGGUAUAUAAAGGGGUUAGAAAGGAUGUAGAAAGGCUGUAGAAAGACUCUUGAAAAUGUUUAGUAAGGGUGUAAGAAGAUGAAGAAAGAUGUAGAAAUCGUGUACAAAGUGUUUAUAAAGUGAGUAAAAAGGGUUUACAAAUGUUGUAUAAAGGGUGUGUAAAGGGUGUACUAAGGAUGUAUAAAGGGUGUACAAAGAGUGUAGACCC
rnacentral:lncRNA from 1 species